UUAAUCAGAAUUUAUGUAUCAGAAUCACAAACAUUUUAAACUUGUUUAUUCAUUGUAAAGCUUCAUGUUGUUUUCACGUUGCCUAUUUUACAUAUAUUGUCCAGUUGAUGUCACAGUAGAGCAAAUGAAGCACCGCGGUGCAUCGGCUCAUGAGUCGAAUGAUUGGAUGGAGUUCCUCAGGGCUUCAUGAAGCUGCAUCUCACCAUCACUACUUUUCAAUGUUUCCUUUCCUGCUCUGGUCAAAGCCCAGUGCAUGCUGGUCCUAUACCAGUCCCUAUACUUACAGAAAAUGGACCCACAGUUCUUAAUGUCUAACUUACAAAAAUUGCCUGCAGUGUAACAUUUAUUACCAGGAGAGGAGAUCCACUCUGGACCAGGAGGAGUUGGAAUCUCUGCAGGUGAAACAAGAACAGGAAGAGCCAGAAGAUCAUCAGAUAAAAGAAGAGCAGGAGGAUCUAAAACACCAGCAGAUAAAAGUGGAAGAGAAAGAAGUUUACUGCAGUCAGGGUGAAGAACAGAUUGGAUUAAAACAGGAGACUGAUGCCUGCAUGGUGGUUCCUGUUGAUGAGCAAACAGACCACACUGAAUCAGAACCAAACAGGAACCAAGUCAUCUUCCAGGAAGCUGCUGAAGCUGAGAACCAAAAUCAGGAAAGAAGAAAACCUUUCUCAAGUGUCAUCUGU